rnacentral:lncRNA from 1 species
AACAAAAAGCACUGAGAACCACGCCAAGGAAGGAUCUUGUGGACCCGGGGAAAGCCAGGAGCCACUAUCUUUUCCAUGUGGAAUGUUGCAUCCUAAAACCCUUCAGACUUAUCACACAGGGCCCUGGUACCUUCGCAAUCAGAUAACUGUGUCUGAAAUGGUUCUGAGCCUCAUCAGUCACAAAGUAGCAAAAAACAAAACAAAAAAACCCCAAAACAACAACAACAACAACAACAAAACCCCAAAAAACGAUGAUUGCAGAAAUUCAGGAAUAUCUUUGAGAUGUGGUAAUGCCCUAAGUUGGCAAAUACUUUUGUAGCUAAAAAAUAUUUCGACUUUACUAGACCCUUACUAUUUUUUUCCAUAAGUGCAUUUCACUCUCAGGUCUUUUUCAGAUCGUCUCAUAAUAAGUCAACAAAUCUAUUUCAAAUGUGUUUGUUCCUAAGCAACCGUUACUAAGAGCUCCUGUAAUUAAGAUGAAAGUUCCAAGGUAACAAGGCCCAAACAAGCACCAUUUCCCCCAUUUUCUGGUAAUGCAAGAGGAGUAGGAUGGAUAAAGGUGAAAGGGGACUGUUUUGCUGGGAGUGCAACCUCUGAGAUGGCCAACACAGUGCCUGUCCUCUGUCUGAUCCCAGAGCGUGUGUGUUUUCUCAAAGGCAGCCAGUCCGUUUUUCCUGCUGUCUGGAGUGUCUGUCCCAGGCAUGAACAGGCAGAGUGUGUGUUGAAGGCAGGUUUAUUGCAGAGUUGUGUUACAACAGGGCCCUACGGUGAUGAGCAUCAUGCUGCCCGGCACGUGCGGCCACGGGAGGGAUGACUGGAGUACACGCCACGUGAAAUCAACUUUCUUUGCAGCUAUGACUGACCUAGAUUAGGCGGUGAUGCAGGUCCGUUCUGUUCUGCCUAACAACGCACAGUUUCUUUUUCUUUUGGUGAUUUGUAAAGGAAGACUCAGAUGAAUUUUUCCCUAUUCAUCACGCCUGGCUCAUAGCAGGCAUUUAACAAAUGCUCCUCUUUCCCUUCCUGCUUCAUUUUGUUCCAGGGGCAAGAAGGGGGUUAGGGUUUCCAUGACGACCUGUUGUUGAAUGACCUCCUUUCAAACCUGUUGUUAGAUGCCCAAUGGGCCUGAGCAGUGGUCCAGAGAGCCAAGCCUCACCUAAUGGAGGCUUUGCUGGUAAAAGAAUAUUCGGUCUAAGUCAGCAAGCAAUCACUGAUGAUCCUCCAGCUGCCUAAAAAUUUGGUGUGUCCCUACAGGGUUUGCUCGUAGGUUUGCCUCAUUGCAGGCAGAGAGAUGGCAGCCACCAAAGGGUACGGCCCAAUGGACCUUGUUUUAUUUUGGAACCAGGCCUUAGGUUUUUGAUCUUGGGGAGGUCAAAACCACAUUGGUGUUUAAUUUCCUCAUGAUUAUCC